UAUGGCUCGGUUGUCAAAGACAGGUUGAUUUGCAAUGGAUUCUUUUGGCAUUAGUCAGAUGUUGGCUUUAUAUUACAUUUGUGUGCCCUGUAUGCUUGCUUCAAUCUGUAUGUCUAUAAGUGUCAAUGGUUUCAUCUUUUUCUUGGCUGGCAAAUCAGUUUCUUCAUUUUGCUUCUGAUAUUUGUUUUAAUCCUUGGUAUACUUAAACUCAUGCAGUAUAGAUCUGAUUAGUACUUGCUACUUGAUAAACAAUGUGAUGCUGCUAGUCUUCUUGCCAAAGUUUGAUUUAUUUGCCCCUUUGGGUUAUUGAUGUCAGUUAGCAGAAAUGGAGAGACUUCAUUUGCAUACUGUACAACAGCUUCAUCUUGAGCUAGCUGAUGCAAAAGAAAGGAGUGGAACCUACCCUGAAGAGUCGCGCAUGUCCCAGACAAGCUCAAAGGAUAUAUCAAACUUUGGUCAAAGCAAUGUAAACCAAUUAGAUGUUAAUGCAAAUGGUGCAACAAGUGCUGACAAUGGACCACUUCCAAAUGGGAAUGCAGAUAAUGCUUCAAACCAGACCAACCAUGUUGCCGGAGUCCCCAUUGCACCGUCGUCUUUACUUGGGAUGCCUACCUACCUUCCGCCUGGACAGGUGACUGCACUGCAUCCAUUCAUUCUGCAUCAACAGGGGAUUCCUCAUUCUAUGCCAUCACAUGUUCCUCAAUCUCAUGUUGCGCAUUUUAACUCGAUACCAGCAAUGUCAUCCCUUCCACAGUGGCAGAACCAGCAGGCUGCAUCAGAGGGUGCUCAAUUAUCUACACCGAAUCAACUGACUUCAUCCCAAACUGAUCACAACCUUAUGAGAUCAGAUGCAAAGUAUGAGUAUGAAGUGUCUGUUAAUGGACAAGGAUUUCAUCCUGGUUAUCUGGACGUUCACAACAGUCAAGGGACGGAGCCUGAUCCUGUAAUUUCAUCGUCUACUGGGGAAGCACAGGUCCUUGAGUCGAUGGAUAGAAGUUACGUGGUUUCCUCCCAACCUGAGCAGAGCUUGCAACAGAUUUCUUCCCAAUUUAGUGAUUCCUUAAGACUGAAUUCUCUUGAUCAAAACAGUGAAGCAAAGGAGCAAAAUGUUUUGAGCUUUAGUGAUCAGGGAUUAGAUGGCCAAGUUUUGACAGACGAACAACAAAGUUCUGUCAGUGCAUCAUUGUCCGAAACAUCAAUGCAUUCAGUUAAUGCCAGUGAAGGCACUAUCAAUAAUGGUACUGUAGUAUUAUCUGAAUCAUUGAUCUCAACCGGGCAGACAAAUAUGGUGACCGUAGGGAAAACUUCAGAGACUGCCCUCCUUGAUGAAAGAUCUCUGUUGGCUUGCAUGGUUCGCACAAUUCCAGCUGGCGGUAGAAUUCGGAUCAAUUCAACGCUACCUAAUAGGCUGGGCAAGAUGCUUGCACCUUUACAUUGGCAUGAUUACAAGAAAAAGUAUGGAAAGCUUGAUGAGUUUGUGGCUGGUCACCCAGAAUUAUUUUUUAUUGAGGGCGACUACAUUCAACUUCGAGAAGGAGCUCAAGAAAUGAUAGCUGCUAAAGCAGCGGUUGCUAAAGUUGCAGCAGCAGCAGCAGCAUCUCCUCCAUACUCAUCAUUUUUGCCUUCUGUGGCUGUUACUCCAAUGGCACAGUCUCACCGACUCAAGAAAGUUCCAUCAAUUGAUUCAAAACAGCCUAAUGGUGUUAGUUUUGAUACUGCUGGGGGUAUCUCAAAUGUAAAAAUUUUGAGUAAAUCGAAAGAUUCUCAGGAAAUGAAUGGAGCAGAUUUUGAUAGAUCAAGCAUAUCUAGCAACCUGAGCAAGGGGUCAAUGCAUGGGAGGUCUAACUUGAAUUUUGCUGGAAAGCAGCAGGGCAGGACAACUGGAGCUGCAUUAACAUCUGGAAGAUAGAGGAAAUGUGGAAUCAUAUAGAUAAAUAUAAAAUGGAUGUUAACAGGGGUUGUGAUGGAGCAUAUAUAGGGAUAAUCCGCGAUGGAAUGUGUUUAUUGCUGAUCGAAAUCGCCAGUCAGCUUUUGCUUAUAGAAAUUAUCUAUUGGACUGCUCAGUUGAUUCCCUUUUAAUUUUAUGUUUUUUUGGGAAAAAGAAAACAUUUGUUGAGUGUGUUUUGUGAUCCAAAAUGGAACAUUGGACUCUCUGCAGUGAUAUUCAUGCACAAAAUUGCAUCUGUGCAUCUGAUAGCUCUUUUUUCUUUUUUUCUUUUUUUUUGUUGUCGUCAAAUCGGAGAGGCGUCCUUGCUUUGGAAGGGGAGGUGGAAGAUCACCGGUCCAGUUUGUAAGUUAUUCAUUUGUUUAUGUUGGACGAGGACUACAUUUAAAAGAGAUUAUCCAGACAUCCAUCAAAGGGGGAACAAGAGAAAAAAAAAAGCAGAAAGAUCAAUACUCUGCUGCAACGUGUCUGACAUGUAUGUGAAUUAUACCAUUGUAACAUGUAAUCAUCCUCUGUUUUUAUUGAAGAGAUGUGUCCUGUAUCCAAAAUGAAACCAUGUAAGAUGCCACGGGUCUAUAUCGAUCAAUGAUGGAAAUGCAGAAAUCACAAGAAUAUGGAAACCUUCUGUAUUUCCUCUGAAUUGUUCAAAGGGUAUUAUUAGUAUUAGUUUAAUG
rnacentral:misc_RNA from 1 species